rnacentral:rRNA from 1 species
CAUAUCUUUGAAUCCAAUCAUGACCACACGUACCCAAAGUAACUUUACAACCGGUAGCGUUGGAUCCCUUGGCACGUCAUUCGAUGAAGACCGUUGCAAAAUGCGAUAAGUGGUGUGAUAUGCAAGUCCAAAACUUAUACGUGAACCAUCRAAUUGUUGAACGCACUGCAUCGAGCCUUACCCAGGAACGAUACGCCCCAUUGAGCGUCAUUACGUCUUCGCGACACCGUCAUUUACCUGACGUGUCCGGGUUCGGGAUUCACAGCUCGCGCUGCGCUUCCUUAGAUACAUUGCUGCACACGGAUCGACAGUCUCCUUGUCAUAAAUGCCAGGGACGGCUUGAGAUGCGCAUGCAAGAUCGGUCUCUCGCGGACCUGAUCGAUCGCAACGGCCGGCUCACGCUGGUCCGCGCACUUCUACACAUGACCUCACGGGGGCGGGACGACCCGCUAGACUUAAGCAUAUUA